rnacentral:rRNA from 1 species
UCAAGCUAUAAAGAGCAUAGGGUGGAUGCCUUGGCACCAAGAGCCGAAGAAGGACGUGGUCAGCUGCGAUAAGCCAUGGUCAGCCGCAAGCAGGCAAUGACCCAUGGAUUUCCGAAUGCGGAAACGCGGCACGUUAACAGCGUGUCAUCAUGUCAUGAAUAAAUAGUGACAUGAGGGGAACCCGGUGAACUGAAACAUCUAAGUAGCCGGAGGAAGAGAAAGAAACAUCGAUUUCCUUAGUAGCGGCGAGCGAAAGGGAAAGAGCCCAAACCGAGGGUCUACGGACGUUCGGGGUUCGGACUUGCAAAAAUCGAAGUACUUAUAGACGAAGAGGUUUGGAACUUCCUACCAAAGAGGGUAACAGUCCCGUAGUCGAAAUGAGUACAAGAGGGCGAGAAUCCAGAGUACCACAGGACACGAGUAAUCCGGUGGGAAGACGGGGGGCCCACCCCCCAAGGCUAAAUACUACUUGGUGACCGAUAGCGUAUAGUACCGUGAGGGAAAGGUGAAAAGAACCCCGGGAGGGGAGUGAAAGAGUACCUGAAACCCUAUGUUUACAAGCAGUGGGAGCGAGAGCGACCAUGUACUUUUUGUAGAACGGGCCGGCGAGUUACUGUGUGCAGCGAGGUUAAGUUGUUAAGCAACGGAGCCGAAGGGAUACCGAGUCUGAAAAGGGCGUAAAGUUGCAUGCAGUACACCCGAAACCGGGUGACCUAUCCAUGGACAGGAUGAAGCGACGGUAAGACGUCGUGGAGGUCCGAACCACACGUACGUGAAAAGUGCGGGGAUGAGCUGUGGAUAGCGGAGAAAUUCCAAUCGAACUCGGAGAUAGCUGGUUCUCCCCGAAAUAGCUUUAGGGCUAGCCUCGAUUUAGAUUACCGGGGGUAGAGCACUGAAUGGGCUAGGGGGCCACAAAGCUUACCGAACCCUAUCAAACUUCGAAUACCGGAUAAUUGAUGAUCGGGAGUCAGACAGUGUGAGAUAAGUUUCAUUGUCAAAAGGGAAACAGCCCAGAUCUACGACUAAGGUCCCAAAGUUCAAGUUAAGUGGAAAAGGAUGUGCAAUUGCGUAGACAACCAGGAUGUUGGCUUAGUAGCAGCCAUUCAUUCAAAGAGUGCGUAAUAGCUCACUGGUCGAGUGAUUGUGCGCCGAAAAUGUAACGGGGCUAAACUUGACACCGAAGUCUAGGCAGAAGGAAACUUCUGGGUAGGGGAGCAACGUGUACGGGCAGAAGCAGAAGCGGAAGCGACUGUGGACUGUACAGGAGAGAGAAUGCCGGCAUGAGUAGCGAGAGCAAAGUGAGAAUCUUUGCCGUCGAAAGCCUAAGGUUUCCUGAGGAAGGCUCGUCCUCUCAGGGUAAGUCGGGACCUAAGCCGAGGACAAUAGUCGUAGGCGAUGGACAAUCGGUUAAUAUUCCGAUACCGCCGAGCAACCGGAUGCAGUGACACAGAAGGAUAGGCAGAGCGUGGCGAUGGUAGACCACGUCCAAGCAGUGAGGCUGUUGUGUAGUGAAGUACGCACAACGGAAGGCUGGGCUGUGAUGGGGAACGAUUACGAUCGGUAAGCUGCUGAAUUCACGCUGGCGAGAAAAGCUGCUACGAAGCGAAGGCGCCCGUACCGCAAACCGACACAGGUAGGCGAGGAGAGAAUCCUAAGACGAGCGGGAGAACCCUUGUUAAGGAACUCGGCAAAAUGACUCCGUAACUUAGGGAGAAGGAGUGCCUCGAGAGAGGCCGCAGAGAAUAGGCCCAAGCGACUGUUUACCAAAAACACAGGUCUGUGCGAAGUAGAGAUACGACGUAUACGGGCUGACGCCUGCCCAGUGCCGGAAGGUUAAGGGGAAGUGUUAGGGCAACCGAAGCACGGAACUUAAGCCCCGGUGAACGGCGGCCGUAACUAUAACGGUCCUAAGGUAGCGAAAUUCCUUGUCGGGUAAGUUCCGACCCGCACGAAUGGUGUAACGAU